rnacentral:rRNA from 1 species
AACGAACGCUGGCGGCAGGCCUAACACAUGCAAGUCGAGCGCACCUUCGGGUGAGCGGCGGACGGGUUAGUAACGCGUGGGAACGUACCCUUUUCUACGGAAUAGCCUUUGGAAACGAAGAGUAAUACCGUAUACGCCCUUUGGGGGAAAGAUUUAUCGGAGAAGGAUCGGCCCGCGUUAGAUUAGAUAGUUGGUGGGGUAACGGCCUACCAAGUCUACGAUCUAUAGCUGGUUUUAGAGGAUGAUCAGCAACACUGGGACUGAGACACGGCCCAGACUCCUACGGGAGGCAGCAGUGGGGAAUCUUAGACAAUGGGCGCAAGCCUGAUCUAGCCAUGCCGCGUGAGUGAUGAAGGCCUUAGGGUCGUAAAGCUCUUUCGCCUGUGAUGAUAAUGACAGUAGCAGGUAAAGAAACCCCGGCUAACUCCGUGCCAGCAGCCGCGGUAAUACGGAGGGGGUUAGCGUUGUUCGGAAUUACUGGGCGUAAAGCGCACGUAGGCGGAUUGGAAAGUUGGGGGUGAAAUCCCGGGGCUCAACCCCGGAACUGCCUCCAAAACUAUCAGUCUAGAGUUCGAGAGAGGUGAGUGGAAUUCCAAGUGUAGAGGUGAAAUUCGUAGAUAUUUGGAGGAACACCAGUGGCGAAGGCGGCUCACUGGCUCAGAUAACUGA